AUUGAACGCUGGCGGCAGGCCUAACACAUGCAAGUCGAGCGAGCGGCGGACGGGUGAGUAAUGUCUGGGAAACUGCCUGAUGGAGGGGGAUAACUACUGGAAACGGUAGCUAAUACCGCAUACCAUCAGAUGUGCCCAGAUGGGAUUAGCGAGUAGGUGGGGUACCGGCUCACCUAGGCGACGAUCCCUAGCUGGUGUGAGAGGAUGAACAGCCACACUGGAACUGCGACACGGUCCAGACUCCUACGCUAGGCAGCAGUGGGGACUAUUGCACUAUGGGCGCAAGCCUGAUGCAGCCAUGCCGCGUGUGUGAAGAAGGCCUUCGGGUUGUAAAGCACUUUCAGCGGGGAGGCGUUACCCGCAGAAGAAGCACCGGCUAACUCCGUGCCAGCAGCCGCGGUAAUUC
rnacentral:rRNA from 1 species